CCGUGGAGAAACCCUAGCCGCUGCCUCCGCCCGCACUCGCGCCCCCACCCGCGUCUCCUCGUCCCCUCUUGCCGCCUCCGGCUCCUCUCCUCUCACCCGGUUCUUCUUGAUUCGCCUGGCCGCGGUGAUGGUGGCGUGACGGAGCUCGCGCGAGGGCUUCGAAUCUGAGGUGCCAGCCAUCUCCUGUAAACGUACGCCGCUCGUGAUCGCGCGGACGGAGGGGUCCUCUUCUGCUGACGUACGCCGCUCGUGCUCGCGCGGACGGAGGGUUCCUCUUCUGCUGCUGCUCCGUCUGCAUCCUCCUCUGCCUCUCCUUCUCCUCGACCUCCACGGAGUCGUCGUCCAGCCACUCAAUUUCAGGGGAAGGAGAGGAGGAUGACGCCCAGCCAUGGAGAGGAAUAGCAGCAGCUCAAGGUCUUUUCUCCUCCACGCCUCCCUAUGCCCCUCUCUCGUUUCUGUGUGCUGUUUUGUUCAAGGUUUGCUGUUUUGUUUGCUCCUACGGAUGCUAAUGCUUGUAUGACUUGUUGCAUUCAUCUUUAUUAUGACGUUGGUCAAGGUUAAUAAGGCUUAGGAGCAUUAUAUUUGAGUGUCAUGAAGGGUUUGAUGCCAACUGAAGAUUUAAGACUGUGAAUAUGCUGAAGGGUAGAAAACUGUGCUACAAAGAAAUGAUGUGAGCUUCAAAAAGAAAAAUGAAGCAAGACAAGCCGGAGAAGCUCGCAUGGACAUCCAAUUUCUUGUACCACUCAACUGAGCCGAGUCAUGUUGCAUGAUGCGCGUGGCCAUGGAUCCCAGCAGCUUCAAAACCGGAGGCCUUCUGCUUCCAACCAUUGAGAUGCGUUGCGCUUCGCCUCCAUCUGUCAUCGUGAUCGGUAGCGGAAUCUCAGGGAUUGCUGUGGCUCAUGUCCUCUCCAAUUCCUCUUUUGAGGUGACUGUCCUUGAGUCGAUAGAUCAAAUUGGUGGCCAUGUUCAUACGGAUUACUCCUUUGGAUGCCCCAUUGACAUGGGAGCCUCAUGGUUGCACGGUGUCGGUAAUGAGAAUCUUUAGCACCAUUGAUUGGCCAUCUUGGGCUGAGAUUAUAUCACACAAGUGGCGACAAUUCUGUUCUGUAUGACCAUGAUUUGGAAAGCUGUUCGCUCUUUGAUAAGAACGGCCUUGCAGUCCCAAUGGAGAUAGCUGCUAAAGUUGGCGUGAUAUUUGAGAAAAUUCUUAAGGAGAAGGUGAAACCCCGCGAUGAGCAGGAACACGACAUGCGCCUUGAACAGGCAAUUUCAAUGGUGCUUGAGAGGCACCCUGAUCUCAAGAGGAAAGUGCAGAUCGACGCUCGCGUCAUUGCUCCGUUCACCCCUUGCCAUCGCCAGGAGGAAAGUGCAGAUCGACGCUCGCGUCAUUGCUCCGUAGAGAGGAGCACGUCAUCGAGUCGGAUUCACCAUGCGAGGCACCUCUCCCGGCCGAUAUUGCGCCUCCCCAAGAUGCAGCGGCUGGCGCUCUGCCUUUGCAAGGAGGCGAGGAGCACCGACAGGUCCAGCAACCACCGUGCCCUAGCCUGUCCUCCAGCGAUUGGCUAGACUGUCGCCGCCGUCUGCGUGGUCGCCGCAUGCGCGAGAAGGUGAGGAAGAUGACCCGAGGUGAGCCGCCUCUGAUCCGCCGCGCGAGACGCUCACCGAGUGCCUCUCCAGCUCAACGCUCCCCAACCCAA